UUGUGGUCUAUUUGUCCUUUUCUUCAUGGAGCGCUUCAUCGAAGAGGCCCCUGAAAGGCUGAAAAUGAAAGAUUUGUCAAUGGUCGGUUUGAGUCUCAAAACCUGAAGCAGCUUCAAGUUUGAGAAAGAAAAUCCGGAAGGAACUCAGGCAAGAAUUUCGAGAUGCAUAUUUUGUUAACCUCUCAAAAGAAUCUGCUCCAGCGGUUGGUGCUUCUGAAGAAUGAACCGGCAUAUGGGAUACUGACUGAAUCCGGUGCACAGAUGUAGCAACUAACUCAGCUUUCAGGUUGGCUUCCCAUGUACAGCUCAGAGGAAUGGGUGUGAUCUUUUGAGUUUAGCAUUGUAUAGCGAGGGAAAAUCGGUUAAAAUGCCAUUUUUUCGAGAGCUAAGAAGAUACCAGAUUGGCCAGGACAAGGCGUGCAUCAUAGUCGUCUGCAGUACUGACCAUUUCUGGAGUGCUGAAGCAACGUGGUCGAUUCAUACCCACUUGUAGCAUUUCACGCAUGAGUAAUAAUUUUCACGUUCUUUCUUUCGGGAAGGGAGGAUUAGAAAAAUCUUAUUGAUUGCAGCUGUUUCCAAACCUCCGGGAAAAGCAUGAAAAGAAAACUUAUGAUACGGUCCCUCUGUCACUUCAAAAGUGAAAGGAGCGAUCUUGUAAUUCUUGGUCUAUGAAGUACAUUGUUAGCUUCUCUGUGUUUGAUUUUCCCAUUGAGGCCAAACCUCCGCGGUGUGCACAAACAUCUUUACUUCCAAACGGAUUAGGAUUCUCUUCCCUCUUCUUUCCAUCCCCUUCCAUUCUCACCUCUC
rnacentral:sRNA from 1 species